GACGAACGCUGGCGGCGUGCCUAAUACAUGCAAGUAGAACGCACAGUUUAUACCGUAGCUUGCUACACCAUAAACUGUGAGUUGCGAACGGGUGAGUAACGCGUAGGUAACCUGCCUAGUAGCGGGGGAUAACUAUUGGAAACGAUAGCUAAUACCGCAUAAUAUUGAUUAUUGCAUGAUAAUUGAUUGAAAGAUGCUAUUGCAUCACUACCAGAUGGACCUGCGUUGUAUUAGCUAGUAGGUGAGGUAACGGCUCACCUAGGCGACGAUACAUAGCCGACCUGAGAGGGUGAUCGGCCACACUGGGACUGAGACACGGCCCAGACUCCUACGGGAGGCAGCAGUAGGGAAUCUUCGGCAAUGGACGAAAGUCUGACCGAGCAACGCCGCGUGAGUGAAGAAGGUUUUCGGAUCGUAAAGCUCUGUUGUAAGAGAAGAACGGGUGUGAGAGUGGAAAGUUCACACUGUGACGGUAGCUUACCAGAAAGAGACGGCUAACUACGUG
rnacentral:rRNA from 1 species